CAAUAAGCGGAGGAAAAGAAACUAACAAGGAUUCCCCUAGUAACUGCGAGUGAAGCGGGAAAAGCUCAAAUUUAAAAUCUGAGGGUCUCUGUGGCCUUCCGAGUUGUAAUCUAGAGAAGUGCUAUCCGCGCUGGACCGUGUACAAGUCUCCUGGAACGGAGCGUCAUAGAGGGUGAGAAUCCCGUCUUUGACACGGACUACCAGGGCUUAUGUGAUGCGCUCUCAAAGAGUCGAGUUGUUUGGGAAUGCAGCUCUAAAUGGGUGGUAAAUUCCAUCUAAAGCUAAAUAUUGGCGAGAGACCGAUAGCGAACAAGUACCGUGAGGGAAAGAUGAAAAGAACUUUGGAAAGAGAGUUAAACAGUACGUGAAAUUGUUGAAAGGGAAACGCUUGAAGUCAGUCGCGUUGGUCAGGAAUCAACCUUGCUUUUGCUUGGUGUACUUUCUGACCAACGGGUCAGCAUCAAUUUUGACCGAUGGAUAAAGUUCAAAGGGAAUGUGACAUCUUCGGAUGUGUUAUAGCUCUUGAUCGCAUACAUCGGUUGGGAUUGAGGAACUCAGCACGCCGCAAGGCCGGGUUUUAACCACGUACGUGCUUAGGAUGCUGGCAUAAUGGCUUUAAUCGACCCGUCUUGAAACACGGACCAAGGAGUCUAACAUGCACGCGAGUGUUUGGGUGGAAAACCCGAGCGCGUAAUGAAAGUGAAAAUUGAGAUCCCUGUCGUGGGGAGCAUCGAUGCCUGGACUUGAUCUUUUGUGACGGUUCCACGGUUGAGCGUGUAUGCUGGGACCCGAAAGAUGGUGAACUAUGCCUGAAUAGGGUGAAGCCAGAGGAAACUCUGGUGGAGGCUCGUAGCGAUUCUGACGUGCAAAUCGAUCGUCAAAUUUGGGUAUAGGGGCGAAAGACUAAUCGAA
rnacentral:rRNA from 1 species